rnacentral:rRNA from 1 species
CCUGAUUAAACAUAAGAGGUCCAGCCUGCCCAGUGAUAACAUUCAACGGCCGCGGUAUUCUGACCGUGCGAAGGUAGCAUAAUCACUUGUUCCUUAAAUAGGGACUAGUAUCAACGGCAUCACGAGGGCUAUACUGUCUCCCCCCUCCAAUCAGUGAAACUGAUCCCCCCGUGAAGAAGCGGGGAUUUAAUUAUAAGACGAGAAGACCCCAUGGAGCUUUAAACCCAACACACACCCCAUCGCUAAAACAUCAACUAAGCCUCGAGGGCCUGUACGUUGGUUUUAGGCUGGGGGGACCACGGAGCAAAAUCAAACCUCCACAACAAAUGGGCUAAAACCCUUAUCCACGAUUUACAAAUCUAAGAAUCAUCAAAAUGAUGUUUAAUGACCCGAUAAUUCGAUCAAUGAACCA